rnacentral:rRNA from 1 species
CACGCAGGCGGUCUGUUAAGUCAGAUGUGAAAUCCCCGGGCUUAACCUGGGAACUGCCUUUGUGACUGCAUCGCUGGAGUACGGCAGAGGGGGGUAGAAUUCCAGGUGUAGCGGUGAAAUGCGUAGAGAUCUGGAGGAAUACCGAUUGCGAAGGCAGCCCCCUGGACAGUGACUGACGCUCAUAUGCGAAAGCGUGGGGAUCAAACAGGAUUAGAUACCCUAGUA